GGGCCGGCCGGUUUUGCGCCCUCUCUGUCGUGCUGCCGUGUGACGCCGGCCGCGGCAGAAAGCGAAAGCUCGACCGCUCGAGACUGGAGCGGCGCGACGGCGUGGCUCGCCCUGGUUCUUGUCAGCGGCCGCGGCUGCGAACUGGCGGUGUGGAGGAGGGCGGGCGGCGCACGCGUCUGGGUCUCCCGUCUGCGCUCCCAUCGCGUAGAUUUCUACAAACUGGCAGCCAGUCUAGCCUGCAGAAGAUCAAGGACAGACCUUGAGAAGACGGCGACGAGCUCAUUGGUGUGCACAGAGAGGGAAUCGCCGAUGCGCUCCCUCACGCUGUGGAUACGGCUCAGGGCGCGCUCUCCGGCAGUCUCCCCCAUUGCUAUCCUCAAACCUGAACGGCAGAAACAGUCAUGUAAAUCUGAAUAGCAGAAACAGUGAAGCCUCCUCCUAGACAACAGGGCGCUCUGUCCUAGUAGCAACGAUGCAUGAGCUCUACUGAUAAAUAGAGCCAAAGGAAGAAGAAAGGUUGGCGUGACGUGCAAGAGUGCCUAGAAGGCUGUGCUUUGGGAACCAGAUCGUGGGAUUAGCGUGAGAUGUGUUGUAGCCGUUUCUUGCGUGGCUUGGCAAGCUAAUUAAAACUGACCAAAAUAUGAGUGAGCACAGGAGCACGGAACUAUUGCCGGGCUCUCCAGUAAAGGGCAUGCAGAUAAUAGAAAUGGAUCAGGUAAUUUAGUAGUGUAAUACAAAGACAUGCACAUGAUCCACAGAGCAAGUGGCUUAUGUGAGAUAUGUGAGGAGCACUGUAACUCUUAAUUACUGGCCUUGGAAAAACUUUGUUGCAAAGUUAAUAGCCCCUUUAACAAGUUGCAUAAAAGAGGGAGCGGAAAAACUGCUAGAUUUAUUUUUGCAUUCCGGGAACUUCGAAUAUGCUCUCAGAAAACAGAAGAAAAUUUCAGACUGAAGACAAGCCUGGCCUCCCCGGAGGAGGAUGUCACAGGCAUGCAGGAUACGGACCGAGAUCAGGAUACGCAGUUCUGCACUGGAUCUCUACGGUACUGCCAUACGCCCAUACGCCUACACCGAUCCAGUGUACUAACCGGCGUAAUAAUCACAUGGAUCUCCCAGCAGUUCACCCACUCUACCAUCCUAGUUCCAAUUCCAGAACACAAAAGAGAAGAUCUCCCUUUGUUCUAGCUACAGCAACCAAAAGAGAAGAUCUCCAGGGCCCGGACCCAAGUGCAUGCGUGCAUGCAGGGACCAAGAAAGCCAAAUUGAUCGACAAGCCUGACCCAAACUUUUCUUAUCAGUAUAUAUACUCUCGAACCUAAGCUGAAGAAAGUAGAAAGAGAAUUUCGCAUGCAGCACCUCACUUGAAUCACUGAAACUAGGCUAGCCCCACAGACCUCCGUAUGGCCCCAACCGUACCCAUACUAUGUGCAAGUACCAUGAAAAGAAGCCAUGUCCAGUUACCUUGCUCCAGAGGAGGGAGGAGGGAGGGCGAGAAACAAGGAAACGUCACAGGGGAGCAGGCGGCCCGGGUUUGGUGCGCGGUGAGGGCGAG